AGGGAUGUAGCUCAGUGGUAGAGUAUUUGCCUGGCAUGUGUAAAGUCCUGGGUUCAAUUCCCAGCACUA
rnacentral:tRNA from 1 species